CAACUCAUAAGUCUUGAUCACCGAGUGUACGUGUACAGUGAUUGUAAAGAUCAAUGCUCAAUGAACACAAAUAAGCUGGAUAACAAGUCUUACAUCCAUACAUACCGUCUUACACAAAUUUAUGACCAUUAAGAUCAAGACUUACAUAGAUAGGGCCAUGAAGGCCAAAGACAAACACAACUAGCAGCGGAAAUCAUGAACGAAAGCGUGAACCCAUGCCAUCUGCCUUUACCCUACAGACAUUUUGACUGGGAAGCGUCCUAAUUUGCAUGUUCGUCGACAAGGUAUUCUUCACCAUACUCAAGAUCUUCCAUGCAUGGCCACUUAAAUAACCAGUGGCAAACCGAUGAGUACUUUGAAUGUACUCGCAAGAACCCAUGUUUUGGAACAAGGUAUAACAAUGCAUGAUAUAGCUCUAAGUACGUUAGUUGCAGAAAUCUAAUUUUGAGAGCAAUGCCAUGUUCAACCGACUUGUAAAAUCAUGCAUCAUGAGGUUUGAAGAUAUCCAUGUGAACAGGUUAAUGAUAUCAAUAUAAGAAGUGGUUGAACAUCCCAUGUUCAAUCAACAUGUCAAUGUGAAGUCAUACGAUUUAUCUCCAACAUCUCUCCCCCCGGCAUACAAAUCUUUGAAAACAUUAGACGGAGUUUAAGCAGGACCACCAAC
rnacentral:lncRNA from 1 species